rnacentral:lncRNA from 1 species
GGGGAGUUCCCAGUGUGUUUCAGCAGAAAUAACCCAACUAGCAUCUUUGUUGCUGUGGCACAUAGGCCAGCAGCUACAUCUCUAAUUCAACCCCUAGCCGGAGAACACCUUCGGCCCUAAAAAUAAAAAUAUUGUUUACUACCUAUGGUAACAAUGCGAACUAGACUGAGUUGUGGUGAUCAUUUAGUAAUGUAUACAAAUAUUAAAAUCAUUAUGUUGUAUACCUGAAACUAGCGUAAUUUUAUAUGUCAAUUAUACCUUAGUUUUAAAAAUGAACUUAGGGGAGUUCCCAUUGUGGCUCAGUGGGUUAAGGACCAGUAUCUGUCAGGAUAUAGGUUUGAUCCCUGGCCUUGCUCAGUGGGUUAAGGACCCAGCAUUGCUGCAAGCUGUGGCACAGAUCACAGAUGCAGCUCAGAUCUGGUGUUGCUGUGGUUGUGGUGUAGGCCUGCAGCUGGAGCUCCAAUUUGACCCCUAGCCUGGGAACUUACAUAUGCCACAGGUGUGGCCCUAAAAAGGGGGAAAAACAAAAACAGAGAGAGAAUUUAGGAGUGCUCUGGUGGCUCAGGAGUUAAGGAUCCAAUGUUGUCACUGCUGUGGCUCAGGUCACUGCUGUGGUGCAGGUUUGAUCUCUGGCCCAGGAACUUUCACAUGAUAAAAGCAUAACCUAGGGGGAAAAAAACCUUAAAUUUUUAAAAAACAAGGGAAGUAUGGAAGCAGCGCAAAAGAAUCUGAUGAUGUAAAUAACAUAAGUGACAAAGAGGUCAGGAAUGAGAAAGUGAGCAACAUGAAGAGAAAUACAGAAUUGAAAAGGCGUCUAAAGAAAACAAUAGAUAGGGAGGGCUGGUGAAUGAGAUCCAACAUAUGCAUAAUUGGAAAAUCCAUAAAAGAAAAAGGAAAUAAUGUGUGGUGGACACACCCUAAGGUGGUCCCUUGUACAAUCCCUUGUCCUUGAGUACAGGUAGAAACUAUGCUUUACUUCCAGCCAACAGGAUAUGAGAAAGAUAAAGACAUUUACAUAUGCAAUUAAAAUCCCAAGUAAGGAGUUCCAUCAUGGCUCAGCAGAAAUGAAUGUGACUAGUAACCAUGAGGAUGCAGGUUCAAUCCCCGGCCUUGCUCAGUGGAUUAAGGAUCCAGUGUUGCCGUGAGCUGUGGUGUAGGUUGCAGACGUGGCUUGGAUCUGGCAUUGCUGUGACUGUGGCGUAGGCUGGCACUACAGCUCCGAUUCGACCUCUAGCCUGGGAAUCUCCAUAUGCCAUGGAUAUGGCCCUAGAAAGAAAGAAAGAAAAAAAAAAAUCCCAAAUUUUGAGUUAUUCAAAACAGAUUAUCCUGAGGGGUCUGACUUAAUCAGCUGAAAGCCUUUAAAAGAGGAACUGGAGACCUCCCUGAAGUCAGACAUUUUCUCUCCCUCUGUCUUUGAAGAAUGAAGCUGCCAGAAAAUUACCUUCCAACAACUGGGCCUGGAAGAGGACUCAGCCUCAGAUGAGACUGUGGGUCUGACACCUUAACCUUGUGGUCCUGAGCAGAGGGCACAGUUAUGCCACGCUCAGUCUCCUGCCCACAGAAACCAUGAGAUGAUAAAUGUGUGGUAAGGGAAUUUGUUAUAAACAACAGAUAAUACAUAAUGGAACAGGAAAAUUAUUUAAAGAUAUAAUUGAAGAAAACUUUCCAAAAUGAAAAGCAGAUUUGAAUUUAUAUAUUGAAAGGACACACCAAAAUUCAGAAGAGAAAGGAACAGACUAUCAACAGCAGUACAUAGCCUAGUAAAAUUCCUGAUCUUCAGAGAUAAAGUAUGAAUCAUUUGGGAGGCAAUAUAAAAAGAUGAAGGGCAUUUAUAAGGGCAAAAAAAAAAAUCAGGCUGUCCUCAGACUUGGCCACAAUAACAUCAAUGCUGGUAAAAGCCUAUACAGAGCCCUUUUGGAAAAGAAAGUAUGAACCAGGAAUUUUAUACUAUGCCAAACUGUGUUUGAAGUAUAAAAAUAAGAGAUAUCGGUUUGAAAAUGCAGGAACUAAGGGAAUAUUAUUUUAUCAACCUUUCUUAGAAAAAAUGCACAUAGGAUAAACUCUCAACCAAGAGGUGAUUUAAAAAUAUGGCAAAAGAACUGACAAUGAGCCUUAAGUAUAAAAUAAAUAUGAAGAGUAUGUUUACAGAACACAAUGCCAAUGUUUUCAACCCUGACAACACAGAAAUUAUAAAACAAGCAAAAAAAAAUGUGGGUGGGAAUGGGAGAAAGAGCAGUGUAUUUCGCAGGAAAGUAGGUGAAAAGAAAUAAAAGCAGAAGUUAAUAAAUUAGAAAACAGAAAAUGACAGAACUGGUAAAUAAGCCCAAGAGAUUGUUCUUUGGAAAAAAAACAAAAAUGAAAAACAAAACCCCAGAGUUCCCGUUGUGGUGCAGCAGAAAGGAAUCUGACUAGUAUCCAUGAGGAUGUGGAUUCAAUCCUUGGCGUUGCACAGUGAGUUGGGGAUCCAGUGUUGCUGUGAGCUGUGGUGCAGGCUGGCAGCUGUACCCCUGAGUCAAUCCCUAGCCUAGGAACUUCCAUAUGCCUCGGAUGUGGCCCUAAAAAGCAAAGCAAAACAAACAAAACAAAACAAACAAAGAAACAACAAAAUAACUGCCAAACCCCAAACAUAGAUAAAUCAUCAGCUAACCUAAAUUAAAAAAAAUACAUAUACAAAGUGGGUAAUAAUAAGAAGGAAGUAUCUACAAAUGCAGGAGAAAUUAAAAGAAUAAUGAAGAAUCUCCUCUCACAAUUCUAUGCUGAUAAACUUGAAAUUUUAGAUAAAAUGGAUAAUUUCCUAGGAAAGUGUAUCUUACCUGUACUUAUUCCAGAUAAAAGAAAAAAGUAAACCAAGCCAACAAUCCCAGAAGAAAUAAGAAGUUAUCAACCACUAUUCCUUUCCCAUCCUCUACUCUCAAAACAGGCCCAGAUAGUUUCCAGAGAAAGUCUUCCUAACUAUAAAGGGGAAUAGAGAAUCCCAAUGCUACUCAGUGUUCUGGAAGAAUUCUAAGACCGAGUAAAAGAAUAAAAGUGUUUCUAAGGAAUCGAUGAAAUUCUGAUAACAAAACCUAACAAAGGUAGGAGUUCUACAGCCUCUUUGUCUUCAGCUCAAAGUUACCAUCUUCAGGAUCACCUUGCGUUUGCCAAGAGGACUCUCUGAGUCCACACCAUGCCACAUGGAAGAGGAAUUGGAGGCAUCUGCUAGUUGAAUCAGCUUUCCCCAAAGCCCUGUUCCUACUCCAUCUAAACUGCUUUGGCCAAUGAUGUGGCUUAUGUCCACUCCUAACUACAAGGAAGGCUGGGGAG